CAAAAAACGACAAAUGCAGCUUACCUUACUUCUCUAUGACUCCAGCUUGCUUCGCAUUUCGAAAAAAUGUCCCGCCGAAUUUGAACGCCUUUGGGACGGAGGUAUUGGAAAUAAUGGUAUUCAUCUGCGACUUUGCUUUCGACGUCCUUAAUCUGGUCAGGUGGUGUUCCUCUUCUUCAUUUAAUAUGCAAUUCUAACUGGGAUGGAGAACUUUAUAAAGUCUGACUAAAUCUUACAUCAUAUUUAGUCCCUUAUCUGAUAAAGAGCGAAUUUCCGGCACUAUUUAUAUCUCGCAUUAAUAUUGCCAGUGGUGAUCAGUUUUUAUAAGAUCCGGUUACCAUUUUAAAACUCAGAUUGUCAAGGUAUGUUCACACAUUUAAAUUUAUGUUCCACUGAACUGGCUCACAUCCUCGAGUUGAAAUGCCAAUAACUCAGGAAAUUAAGUUGAAAUUACAUAACUCAUUAUGUUAAUUGGAAGUAACUUAUAGAAAAACGCUACAAUAACUAAUCGAGGGCAUGACUUUUAACAGUGUGGGAAACCAAAGAAAGCUUCUCCAGACUCUUUGAACAGUUUCUUCUUGCCUUUAUCACAGUGUAGCAUGUAAUGUAAUUAUGUAGCAGAAUUAAUUUUAUUUAUUUAUUUUAUUUUCCUUUAUGAACCUUCUCAAAACUAAUUUUCUUUGAAUUGACAUGUCUGUAAUAUAUUAUUUCUGUUUUAUCUUGCUUUCAUUUUUGGUCCCUAGUGUGUAAAAAGCCAUCCUCAUCUAUGAAUAUUGGUUUUCCUUUGUUUUUUUAAUUGUAUUUUGUUUUGGUGGGGAAGCUUUUAUUUUCUUACUUCCUGUUUGUGCGCUACAUCCUGUGUGUUCCCGCUGCCCUCCUCAGUUCGCGCCAAGCUGCGCUGGGGAGAGGGUGUUUGUGGAGAAUCCGAAGCCCAGGAGCUGCUGCGCUUAAAAUGUUCUUGUUUUGAACAAGUAUGUGGGUUGUUUCAGAUUUUAUUCUGAUGUUAAAUUAAUGCAUUUAGUAUAUUUCUAUGUUAUGGUGGAAAAUUGUAAUUGCAGGGCAGAUUAUUUCUGUUUAGGUUUUAUUUUAAUUGCUUUGUGUGUCAGAGAAUUUUAGUUUUGUUUAAUGCAUUUCUGUCAGUUCGCGCCAAGCUGCGCUGGGGAGAGGGUGUUUGUGGAGAAUCCGAAGCCCAGGAGCUGCUGCGCUUAAAAUGUUCUUGUUUUGAACAGGAAUAAAAUUAUCCUGAAUCCUGA